ACGCGAUGAACCUUACCAGGUCUUGACAUCCUCUGACACUCCUAGAGAUAGGACGUUCCCCUUCGGGGGACAGAGUGACAGGUGGUGCAUGGUUGUCGUCAGCUCGUGUCGUGAGAUGUUGGGUUAAGUCCCGCAACGAGCGCAACCCUUGAUCUUAGUUGCCAGCAUUAAGUUGGGCACUCUAAGGUGACUGCCGGUGACAAACCGGAGGAAGGUGGGGAUGACGUCAAAUCAUCAUGCCCCUUAUGACCUGGGCUACACACGUGCUACAAUGGAUGGUACAAAGGGCAGCAAAGCGGUGACGCCUAGCGAAUCCCAUAAAACCAUUCUCAGUUCGGAUUGUAGGCUGCAACUCGCCUACAUGAAGCUGGAAUCGCUAGUAAUCGCGGAUCAGCAUGCCGCGGUGAAUACGUUCCCGGGCCUUGCACACACCGCCCGU
rnacentral:rRNA from 1 species